rnacentral:rRNA from 1 species
GAUGAACGCUGGCGGCGUGCCUAACACAUGCAAGUCGAACGGAGUUUUUAGAGGAAGCCUUUCGGGGUGGAACCUUUGAACUUAGUGGCGGACGGGUGAGUAACGCGUGAGCAAUCUGCCUUCAAGAGGGGGACAACAGCUGGAAACGGCUGCUAAUACCGCAUAUUGCAUACAGAUCGCAUGGUCUGUAUAUGAAAGAUUUAUCGCUGAAGGAUGGGCUCGCGUCUGAUUAGCUAGUUGGUGAGGUAAUGGCUCACCAAGGCGACGAUCAGUAGCCGGAGUGAGAGGUUGAACGGCCAAAUUGGGACUGAGAGACGGCUCAGACUCCUACGAGAGGCAGCAGUGGGGAAUAUUGGGCAAUGGGCGCAAGCCUGACCCAGCAACGCCGCGUGAAGGAAGAAGGCUUUCGGGUUGUAAACUUCUUUGACCAGGGAAGAAACAAAUGACGGUACCUGGAAAACAAGCCACGGCUAACUACGUGCCAGCCGCCGCGGUAAAAC